UCAAAUAAAGACACAAACAAAACAAAUUCUGCCAAGUAAGAAACAUGUACGUAGUUUCCAAGCAACACGGAAGUAGUGACGAAAAAGAUGAUUGGCUGCACAAGUCUUGUGCAGAGGAAUAUUAGUUAUGACUAAUCGUUACACGACCAGAAAGUCGAUCAAAACACGAGAAGGUACUGUUCUCCUGUGUCUGUCAUAUGUUGAAUAUCUGUUAAGUUAGAACUGACAUUGUUCAAUACGUUCAAUCAAAGUAAUAACUCAUAUUGGUAUUAGCAAAAUGUCAUCCAACACGCAGCCUGACAAUAAAGACGACUUAGAGAAAAAAAUGGAAGAAGAAAGUAACGAAGGAGACGAAUCAAAUGAAUCUCCGAUAGCUCAGUUUUGUAAUUUUCUAUUUAAUACCACAAGAAAUGCAUUGGGAGUAGUUUUCGGUUCAGACGACGAACUUGGCCUUAAGAAAUCACAUUUGGGAACAUAUGAAAGAUCAGGCAGAUGGAAAGGAAUACAAGAAAAGUAUGGUGAAAGUAAAGAUUCAAGUGGAUCUCGGCAUCUUCAAGAAAAACACAAUCCACAAAAACCACAGGAGAGUCAAGAGGAUCAAAAUGCAAUAUUAUGUGAAACAAAAAUAAAGCGAAAGAAAACGUAAAAUGUCGUAAAAUUCAAAUAUUUGAAAAUCUUAAUGACCUUCUUUGAAAAUUCUUAUGUUAUUAAUUUGGUUUCAUUUUGUGUAUUUUUUCUAGAUGUUAUGAAACAAAUUAUUCUGUCGUUCGCACUAUAAAACAAUUCACGAAGUUAUGGUGUUCCAAUUUAAGGAAUAUUCAUUCCAAUCUCGAAUUCACACCAAAUAAAAUUCAAGAAUUCUAAUAAUUUGAAAUUUACAAGUUAGUUUCAUAGAAAUCCAACGUACUAUUUUGAUGACACUCAACUCUACUAAGUCAUAUUAAUACGACUAAUCGUCUUAUGGCUGAACUAAACUCGUUUAAUUUUGGUUUAAGAUUUUGGUUAAGACAAAAUGAUAUACGAUGACAGGAAUAUGGAUGAUUCCAAGAUGUUCAGGUACCUCUUAGUCAAUAAUCUUUCUUUUAUACACAAAGUCUUCUUAUAACAUACUCUAGUGAAAAUCUGUGAUUUAUAACUACGUUACACUUCCUAGGCACGUGAUCACCUUUACGGAUUUAUUAUAUUUAUUAGUCGCUAAAUUUCCAUUUUCUUUUAUGCGUGUUGCUAGCCAUCUAGUAGUCGAAUUUAUAUACCUAGAAUCACAUCUAUGAUACCUAAAUUCAUACAUUAUAUUAGACAUUUUUACUGUGGUAUUCUAUCUAUAUAUUUAAAAAUAUUCUGUAUUCCAUAUCCUGUUUUAAAAACCACUCUUAAGUUAAUUUCUGGAUAGGCUUUGCGAAAAUUUCUGUGUAGGUGGUUUUAACAUUCGAUAUGUGUUUACUCUUUACUUGUCCCCCGCUGAGACAGUGGUAAGUCUACGGAUUUACACCGCUAAAAUAGAGGGUUCAACUCCCCUUGGUGGAAAAAGCAGGGAGCCCGAUGUCGCUUUGGUAUUUGCUAUAAGGAAAAGAAACACACACUCUCUGUUUACUUUGAGACAUUACAUAUGACUGACAUCGUUGAUUCCUCAAAAUAUUGUAAAUAUAACUAUUUGCCGUACUGUUUGGUAAAACCAUUUUUAUUCCAGAAUGUUUCGACACUGUUCAGUGCUUUAAAAAUAUUCUUAAGUGCCAGGUGUUUUAUAUGUACGAUGAAUUGAUAACUUAACCAAAUUUAUCUAAUAAAAUCUGAAAUCAAACCAUUAAAAUAACAAAUAUAAACGUCAAAAUGUUAUAUUUAUGAUGCACUUCAUAUUCAAAAUUCCCAUUAUUAUUAUAUACCAACGUAUUCACAAAAGUAAGUUAAAGCUAUGGUGUAAACUUUCUUUUUUUAUGUUGCCUUUUAAUGUGUAAAGAUUGACUUACGUAGUGAUAUUCAUUAAAGAAGACAAAACUAUCACCCUCCCAAAAUACCUUCAAUAAUGUAAAUGUUUAAAGCUCACCGAACAUUUUUACAAUCACGCGUUUGAUAACACUGGUUUUCAUCUCAUUGUUAUUCCAUCAGUUUGAUCAUAUACGUUAUUACCAAAAAGAAAAUUGGAUUUCUUAGUGGCAGAUUCUAAUGGUUCCUCCACCCCAAAACUGAAAAAUUUGGUAACUUGCGUAUUUAUUUUGGUGUAAUAUAUCAACUAUUAGUUUCAAGUUCCAAGGAAAUAUUAGUGUACAAAAAUUUUACAUCUAAACUACUGCAGUACAAAUUUUAAUUAAACCGUAAGCUUUUAUUUCAGUAGAAACUUCAAAACUUAACCAAAAAUUCAUGAUUGUAUUGAAUCUACAUUAGAAGCUAUUAUUCUAAGUGCACAAUUUUCAUUAUGUAUUGUAGGGAUUCCAUACAAAAUACCUUAAUGACUACCUGACUGUCUUAGUUGUGUAGUUGAAAUAUGUUUUUUACGUCUAAUAAAUAAUUUUGAAAUUUC